CUGCCUCUCUCAGGUGCUGUCCAAUGGUGGGGUGAGUGGCAGCUACACGUUCUCGCUCUUGGCAGCCUUGUUAUCCGGUACGUCCUCACUAUUUUUGCCAGCCUCCGCACGGCUGGCCCUGCACCGUGGGUCAGAUUUGUCACCUGGCUCGCGUUCCUAGGAAGCGAUGCCAUGGCGAUAUAUGCUCUCGCCAUGCUCUUCAACCAGCAAAGGUACAAGCAGCUACCCAGCUCUGCCCAUCAAAGCCAUGGUCUGCAGGUGCUUUGGGCACCUAUCUUGCAGAUGCACCUUGGCGGGCAAGUUGUCAUACCUGCCUAUAAUAUCGAAGACAACGAGCUAUGGAGACGGCACAUUGUUACCUCGCUAUCUCAGAAAAUGAAAAGCAAA
rnacentral:rRNA from 1 species